AUUGAACGCUAGCGGGAUGCCUUACACAUGCAAGUCGAACGGAGUGGCGAACGGGUGAGUAAUGUAUCGGAACGUGCCCAGUAGCGGGGGAUAAAUACGCGAAAGCGUAGCUAAUACCGCAUACUAUUGGAGCGGCCGAGAUCGGAGUGGCAAGGUGGUGGGGUAACGGCUCACGAAGGCGAAGAUCCGUGGCUGGUUUGAGAGGACGACCAGCCACACUGGGACUGAGACACGUCCCAGACUCCUACGGGAGGCAGCAGUUGGGAAUUUUGGACAAUGGGGGAAACCCUGAUCCAGCCAUCCCGCGUGUGCGAUGAAGGCCUUCGGGUUGUAAAGCACUUUUGGCAGGAAAGCGGUACCUGCAGAAUAAGCACCGGCUAACUACGUGCCAGCAGCCGCGGUAAUUC
rnacentral:rRNA from 1 species